CCAUCAUUAACGGUAGUUCCUUAGCAAAAAUCUUAGGUAAUAACUAAUAAAAAUUAAAUGAUAAAUCACUAUUAAAGUUAACAAACGUUCCUUAACUAAGAGACAUUUUAUUCACCUAAGAGGUGGACACGUGUCUCACUAUCAAUCGUCGCGUUUUCUCUGCCUCUCUCUCUCUUCUUGCGACUGAGAAACCAAAUAACCAAAAACUUCAAAUCUUCGUCUCCUCCGUUGAUUGUUACAGCCGGUGAAUCGGGGGAUGGCAUCUUCUUCCUCUCUCUCUCUCUCUCUCUCUCACGUGUUUCUCUUCAAAGGUGAAGGAUAUUUAGAGUUUAAUCGGACAAGUCUCCGAUGUAAAAACGAAGAAGAUUACUUCAAUUGAGAUUGAGAGGCAUAGAGAGAGAUUUGAUUAUUCGAUCGAAUCAAGCUUUGUUUGUUAGUAGCGGGAAUAGCUUAUGCAGAAAUCUCAAUCCAAGCACAGUCUUCACUCAUCUUCCUUCUCUUCGGCCUCCGCCACCGCUGUUUCUGAUGCCACCACUACUCCUUUCGCUUCUAGGUUUCUCUUCGGGUAUGUAUUGUCUCACUCUCUCUGUAUCGGAUUUGGAUUUGUUUGACUUUCACUGGAUCGUGGUGGAUUGAGUUAUUGGAUUUGAUUACUCUGUUUUCUGAUUUUGAUCAGGAUUAGGGUUAGUUCAUAAUUGAUCAUCUUCUAUUGUUAAAUCGUAACAUCUUCUUCACUCCUCUCGUUGGUGUGAUCAUGGCCACCACUAAGCAGGUUAGAAGAGAGAGUCACAUGCUUAUAACUUGGCUUCAAAAACCGGUUAUGAUCAUUAAACCAUGGAUCUCUGGUUUCACAUACAAUCUAGUCUUGGUUUGCUAUGUUGCGUUUUGGGAUGAAGUUACUCUUGCAACACAUGAAGCAGAGGGGUCAUAAGAUCAAUGAGAAUGAUCACAUUGGAACAGAGAAACAAAACAGAGAGAAUAAGAGAAAGAGGAAACUGACCUCAAAGAAGUGUGAAGAGGUCAGAAUGUCAACAAAUACAUGUAUAAGAAAAUGGUCUUACUAAAUUUUGGGCGAGUAACAAUUUCAAAGGUUGUUGUUAUCAAUGAAAGAGCAUCAUAAUAACCAAAUAUCAAUACUGCAGUUUCUCAUU